GCCUGCGUUGCACAGUGGUAGUGCGUAGCUUUCCUAUUAACCCACAAGGGGUUUAUCGCAAGGCUAAGGUCGUGGGUUCGAUCCCCACCGUGGGUU